rnacentral:rRNA from 1 species
GUCAACGGCCAUACCACCCUGAACACGCCCAAUCUCUUGAUCUUGGACGCUAAGCAGGGUCAGGUCUGGUUAGUACUUGGAUGGGAGACGGAAGCUCCCUCUCGUCUUAGUGGUCUAGACAAUGUGCACU